AAAAAAAAAAUUAGCACUAGCACCAGCACAAGCAACACUAACAACAACAAUAGCGAAGUUUUCUCCUUUGCUUUGAAUCCACAUUAUUUACCAGGUUAUGACUCAAGAUUUUUUUUUCUUUUUUGGCUUUUUAUAUAUGGGUCACCGAUGAAUCUUUCUCCCUUUCUUUUAAUUCCCUUCAGAUUGUCAAAAUGGUUUGAUUUGGGUCUCUACCAUCUCCUCAUCACGCCACUAUAGCAGGCAUCCUUCUUGUGACUUCCAACUGAAGAAAUUUCCUCAGUGGUAAUGGACAAGAGAAUGGGAAGGAGACGGAUAAGAGAAUGAUGAUGGAGAUGAGAUAAGUAAACUGAUUAUUGUGCUUUGGUAAAAUAGUGGUGUUUUAAGUUGUUGAUAUCUUGAAAAUUGAGGUAAGCCUAGGGUUUAAUUUGGUUGGGAGAAAUUGACAUCAGUUACAGUUGAAGGAAGAUUUAGAAGAGAAGGCCAGCAAAAAGGAUGUAAAUAGACUUAAAUAAAAAAAAAUUAUUUGGCUUAAUUUAAU
rnacentral:misc_RNA from 1 species